rnacentral:misc_RNA from 1 species
GAGAGAGAGAGAGAGAGAGAAGCUGUAAAUAAUUGCAAAAUUGAAAGACAAAACUCUAAAUAGUUGCAAUAUCCAGGGAUUAAAUAGUAAUUUAUAUUAUAUGUAAUGGCCAAAAUGAACGUCAGGACCUAAAUGAGUGAUGUAAGCAAAACUGAAUAACUAAAUAGUCUAUUCUCUAGAAUACACGAACUGAAAUGUUUUAAUAAUGGUAAAACAAAUGGACUAAAUAGUAAAUUACCCAAAAACAUGGCCAUAAAUAUUGCAGUCUUGUUUCACUGGGAUUUCAGAAUCCCAAUCAUGUGUCACCUAGCUAUACACACACACACACACACAC